GGCAUAACAAGUGUGUAGACCUCUAUAGACUGUGACUCCAUCUGGUGGCUUAACAUUUUCAACUAAGAGAGGGUAUUCUGCCGUCCAUGCCAUGCAGAGGGACCUAUUAAAGUCAUAUUGGUAGGCAAAAAGGCUUAAGAAGCAAUCUUCUAUCUCUAAAGGGAGAGUUAGGGGGACGGUGCCAAGGUGGGGUCGGGCACCGCCACAUACAUAAAAUGCUGUUUUAUUAUGUUUGUUGGCAUUAUACCUCAUCCAUUCUAACCACAAAUUAAUGUCAUUGAAUCCAGUUUCAGCGGCCAUGGUAUCUUCAAAAGUGGGGUUAGCGAUGGCCAUCAUAUCUUUAAAGGACUGGAUAUGUGGUUUUAGCAGAUUUGGGACCAUAUGAUCAGCCCCUUGCCACUCUGGAGAGUGGUACAUAUCUCUGAGGUAGAAAUGACCUAAUUUGUUGUAGGAACCUUUCUUCCAAUACAUUCCUAUUACAUAUCGGUCUGCAUCCUCGGGGCCAGGAUGUUCAAUAUUUAACAUUAAUUUCAUAGGGGUACUUCCUCCAGGCUUUCUUAAAGUCAUUCUUUGAAGGAGGGAUCUACCCCGAUUGUCUAUCUUAGAUAAAGCACUUUUGGGUUUAUAACCCCAGGCAGGCCCAGUAUUCCAUCCCGCAGCCCCCCAGUAGUUACAGUCAUAACCCCAUUGUUCAUCUACUACACAAACGUAUGGGUCUUUUGCUUGUGGUAUAUCUUUAUAAAUGGCUUGAAUCUGUGACUUAGGGAAUGGGCACUCUACAAUAUCACAGUAAUCAAAAGUGAAUGUAGCCACAUGGGUACAUGAUGAAUUAUACCAGAAAGUGUACCCACUAGCAUCUUUGGUGAUGGCCACCUGCUGGGCUUUAAGGAGGCCAACUAAGGAGAUAAUGUACCAGAGGCACAUGGUUGCAUAGAGUUAGCUUCCUCUGGGGCAGGUGUCUUCUUGCAGUGGGAAGCGUUGAUCCAGUUAGGCCUUCCGGCCAAUUUGACAGAGGUAGGGGAGAUCAGGAGAACUUGGAACGGUCCGUCAAAUCUUGGUUCCAGGGUGUGUUUUCGCACAAAUUUCUUGACCAGAACCCAGUCACCGGGGAGCAGACUGUCUUUGCCUGUGUCAGAAUCAGGAUCUGGAAUUUUAGAGAAAACUUGGACAUGGAUUUUGUUCAAAGCAUUUGCGAGUUCAGUUACAUAAUCUACUAAAACAUCAGUUUGAAGUUGUAGUUGUUGGGGAAAAUAGCAACCUAGCCUAGGUGCAGUCCCAAAUAGAAUCUCGUAUGGGGACAAUGAGGUAGUAUUUUUGUACAAGAGCAUUCAUUAGAUCUUUUGAUAAAUGUGCAGGUCUGUGUGCCCAUUGUACGACUGCUGGGUACAAACUCUUAGGGAGGCAGAAAUUGAGGUUGUUGGAGUACACUCCAUCCUUCAGAACUGCCCCUUUCUGUUUCCACUUCUGUAUUUCUUCAGGGGCAACUGUAGCCUGUUGUUCCAGCAGGAUUUUCAGGUCAGUUGGAAGAGUCUGCAGAGUAAAUAUGGGAGUUUCUUCAUUUCCGGACACUCUUCUUUCCACUUCCUGUGGUUCUUUUGCAGCUUGUUUUGCAGCCUGAUCAGCUAGAUGGUUGCCCCUUGCUUCAUCUGAGUCCAACUUCCCAUGUGCUUUAUCUUCAAAAUAGCCACUUCUUCUGGGAGUAGGAGGGCGUCCAUCAGCUCCUUGAUUGCGGAACCGUGCUUGAUUGGUGUACCGGCGGUGGUAAGAAAUCCUCUUGUUUUCCAAAUUAAUCCGAAGUCGUAAGCCACGCCCAGUGCAUAUCUUGAAUCCGUGUAGAUAUUGGCGCGCUUUCCUUCAGAGAUCUUGCAUGCUGAAGUCAGGGCUUGCAAUUCAGCUUCUUGUGCAGACAUAGUUGAUGGUAAAGAUGAUGAUUUGAUAAUUUCAUCUGUUGUGGUUACGGCAUAUCCUGUAUGGUAUCUUCCUUCUUCAUCAGCAUAUCUUGAGCCGCCCACAAACAGGGUGAGAUCGGGAUCUACCAAUGGGUCUUCAUGCACAGUUGGUAGAUGUGUUGUUUCCAUUUUCAUCUGUUCAAAACAGUCAUGAGGUGUAUCUGGGUCGUAUUCAUUCACUAUGGUUAAAUCUUGGAACUCAUUCUCCAGGAAAUGACGCGGCCAUGCUUUUAGGUGGUCAGUUGUUGGAUAUUUGACAACACCAUUUUCCUGUAGCUGUGAUUCGUCCAUAGUGGCCCAUGCUUUUGCCAUAGGCCCAAGAUCAUUCCAUGAUAUUGUUUUCAACUUGGUCACAGGGACAUGUGGAAUGGCAGUGUCCCAAUGACGGUACAAAUGCUUGAGUUCCGGAGGUAGAUGAAUCAAGACCAUACUGUUGCCUUCAGAAUCACAGUAGAAGUCUUGUGCAGUGAGUUUUACUUCAACCAGCUUAUAGAGUUCAUCUUCAUAGCAGGGUUCAGGAGUGAUGUUUGGUUUGUACCACAUGGUACAGAAGGCAUGUCCUGCUCCGUCAUGAAGGAGUGCUUGUCCAUCAUAAAAGGAUAGGUUGGGAUGCAUUUCCUUCUUGAUGGUGCCAGUGAGAAGAGAAACAUACAUUUCGUCCAUGAUGAAUCCGUAGUAUACACCCCCCUCAGGGAGUGGCAGAAGAGUGGACGGAUUGAGAACUUGACAUCUUUGGAGGGUAAUGUUGUCAGGCAACAAAAGAUGACAUUGAAGGCGAAGAUGCCUGGCAGGAGUAACAUGCUUAAGCUGGACCUGGUUGACUAUGGCAGAAAUGUCAUGAGGGGCCAAGACAACCAGGGGUGGCCAAGGACAAGAUCUCCAGUUCUUUCAAUGAGCUCUCUGGCAGCAAAGACGGCCCGAAGGCAAGAGGGACGUCCUCUGGCCACAAUAUCCAGUUGGCAGGAGAAAAAUCCAAUAGGCCUUUGGCGGCCUCCAGGACCAUGAGCCUGAGUGAGUACUCCUGUUGCAUGGCCUUGUCUUUCAGAAACAAACAAUUUGAAGAAACAAACAAUUUGAAGGGUUUGGUAUAGUCUGGUAGGCCAAGAGCAGGAGCAGAAGCAAUAGCACGUUUGAGAGAACAGAAGUUGUCAAGGGCUUCUGUGGACAAGCAAAAUGGGUCUGACUUGAGAGCAUCAUAAAGAGGUUGCAUAAGGAGCGAGGCUUCUGGGAUCCAUGCUCGGCAAUAGGAAAUGAGGCCUAGGAAGGCGUGUAGUGACUUCGAGGUCCUUGGAGGUGGAAUGUCCAGUACCGCUCUAACUCGGUCACGGGUAAGAUGUCUGGUUCCCUGAGACAGACAAUGGCCAAGGAAAAGAACAGUAGGUUGGCAGAAUUGCAGCUUGAGACGUGAAGCUUUACAUCCCUGUUCUGCUAGGUAGCAAAGAAGAUUAAGUGAGCAUUGUUCUGUUGUGGGUAUAUCAUCUCCACAAAGCAGCAAAUCAUCCACAUAUUGAAGCAGGACGACCUCAGGAUGGUCAGAUUGCCAUGGAUCAAGGAUAGAGCACAUGGCCUUCGCAAAUUGACUUGGUGAAUUUUGUGCCCCUUGGGGCAUGACAGUCCAUGUGUACUGUUGUUUGUCAUGUGUGAAAGCAAACAGAUAUUGGCAAGUUGGAUCCAGGGGAACACUGAAGAAGGCAUUGGCUAGAUCAAUUACAGUGAAGUACUUGGCAGAGGGUGGAACGCCGGAAAGGAGUGUGUGUGGGUUGGGCACUAUUGGAGUGUCCAAAACUGUGGCUUCAUUUACCGCUCUGAGGUCUUGGACCAAUCUGUACUUUUCUGGUUCGCCUUUUGGAGUCUUUUUCUUUACUGGAAAUAAUGGAGUAUUGCAUGGUGAUUCACAUUUGACAAGAGCACCCUUCUCCAGGAGUGCUUGAAUUUGAAUUGUAAUGGCUGCAGCUUGAGCUGCUUUCAAAGGAUACUGUGAUUUUCGUGGCAAUUUUACGCCUGGGAUGAGCUUUACCACCACAGGCGGGACCUUUAGAUGGCCCAUGUCCUCUGGGCCUGUGGACCACAGCUUCUUGGGAACAUCAGUCUUUAGUGAAUCAGGGAAAUUAGUCCUUAGGUCUUUUGCAUCCCCAUGAGGCUCUUCUAGAUGUAGCAUCAGGGGUAAGGAGCACAAAGCUGAGGUGUCUGAGACAGAUAGAGGGGUGGAUAGUUCCACUUGUCCAUCUGGAGUAAAGGUGAUGGAUGCCUGCAGGCGUGAAAGAACAUCAGCUCCUAACAGGUUAAUGGGGCAUGUGGAAGAUACCACAAAGCGAGCAAGCAAGUUGUGGCAGUUACCAACCCGCAGUGGGGUGGACAGGGGACUUUGCCUUGGAAGGCCGUCCACCCCAACACAGGAGACAUCAAUAUUGGAAAGAAAUGAGGUAUCGGGCAGGUCUUGUUCUCUCAGAACACUUCGGGCUGCACCUGUGUCAACUAGGAAAGUGGUGGGCUGGCCCUCAAUGGGUAAAAUUACAGUAGCUAGAGGCCCCCCCUGUUCCCCUGAAGACACUGCCAUGGCAGGGGCAUUAAGCAUCAGCGGGUUUGCUCUCCUCAGUAUGGGCUGUGUUACUGACUCAAACCCCUUUUGUAUGUCAUUAGCCAUAGCUUUUUGCAGUCUGAAC